rnacentral:lncRNA from 1 species
AAAGUGUAACUCCCCAUACCAGCAGUUACCGUGGAGACCUAUAUCAGUCCAUGACGGUGACACCUUGGAGGGCAAGAAAAAGCCACAGCUGAGGACACCUGGCUCACGAAUUCUCAAGAAUACAGCUGCAGGCUCUUGGCCUACUGCAAUAACUGCGAAACAGAGUCUGAAGAAAUGGUUCUCACACCCACAAAACUAGAGGAUGAAAUGUCUCUGCAGAUGAAGACUGUGGAGAAGGAACAGUAGCUGACCGAGAAGGGCAACAGCUUCCUCCAAAAUCUCCAUCUGAUUGAAGGUCCAAUGAGGUAAGUCAGGGCUGAGCAUGGGGACUGUCUGCUGACUUCCUCAGGCCA